rnacentral:lncRNA from 1 species
GAAAGAAUGGGAAGAACAACGUGUAAACAACAAUUACUUGGCAACAAGGGCAGAACAUGGGCAGCUGAGAAGCAGCAGGUUCCGCAGCAUUUGCUGGAAGAAACCUACAGAGGCAGAACCUGCAGCUAUGGAGAGUUGACUGUAUUGUUCAAAACCUGUAGCCCUCAUCGAACAGAAUGUCGAAGUCUCCCAGAUGUGAAAUUACAGCUAUAUAGAAAAGCAUGUGAAAAUCAACUAGUACUGGGUGACAAGAAUGUAAUGUCAAAGCUACCAGAAGACUGAUGAGGUGCAUGUGGCU